GAUCCUGGCUCAGGAUGAACGCUAGCUACAGGCUUAACACAUGCAAGUCGAGGGGAAACGGACAUCGAAAGACUUGCUUUUGUAUGGGCGUCGACCGGCGCACGGGUGAGUAACGCGUAUCCAACCUGCCUACCACUUGGGGAUAACCUUGCGAAAGUAAGACUAAUACCCAAUGACAUCCCACGAAGACAUCUGAAUGGGAUUAAAGAUUUAUCGGUGAUGGAUGGGGAUGCGUCUGAUUAG
rnacentral:rRNA from 1 species